UACGUAGGUGGCAAGCGUUGUCCGGAUUUAUUGGGUUUAAAGGGUGCGUAGGCGGCAUUUUAAGUCAGUGGUGAAAUACUUCAGCUCAACUGGAGAGGUGCCAUUGAUACUGGGAUGCUUGAGUACUGAUGAGGUAGGCGGAAUGGACGGUGUAGCGGUGAAAUGCUUAGAUAUCGUCCAGAACACCGAUAGCGAAAGGCAGCUUACUAAGGAGUAACUGACGGCUGAGGCACGAAAAGUGUGGGGGAUCAAAACAGG
rnacentral:rRNA from 1 species